UUGAAACACAGGUUCUUGUAUGAUCACCAAAGUUAAACAAUGUUGAGCCUGGUCAAUACCUAGGUGGGUGACCACUUGGGAAUACCAGGUGCUGUAUG